UUUUAUGUUAGGAACUAAUUCAUGUGAUGAUGGUGGAUACUCUUUAAAAAAAAAAUUAAAGAUAAAAACAAUGAAACAUGGGCCUUCUUCCCGUUUUGCCAGUUUCAGACAAGCUAUGGAAGAUUAAACAUUUUAUGUUUAACUGCUUCUCAGGCUCAAGUACACAACUAGCUUGAAGCUUUCCAGGUCUAAGUCUUCUAUCUGGGGUACGGUCGUUUACUCUAAUCCUUGUUGCUUUUACUUUUAGAAGAAAUAAGCAAACUUCAUAAAAUUUAAGUACCAUAUUACUCAAAUUCUUAGCUGUUUUUAGCUUUUGUUUCCUGGGUAGUGGGUAUAUCUUUGCAAGUCGGUAGCUCAUGAUUUCUGGUGACUCAAACAUCAUUUGAUGUAUUGUAUUGACCCACCAGCUAUCUAAGCCUCAUUAGUUUUAGUUAAUUGAGCCUGGUUUUAAGUAUUAAUUAAGUAUUAGAUCUCAGUACAUUGUGAAGUGGCUGGUAGUAAUCUUAUGCUUGUGGUUUGUAUUUUGCAUAAAUAAUUGGUUAUCAGAUUUACAGUUAGUGUAGUUUAGAAUAAUCUUUCAUCGAAGAAUGCGUUGCACAAGAUUUGCAGGUUUUGUAGGAGUUUGCUGUUUACUGCUGUGCUCAUGAAGUGCAAAAACCGGAGUCUUAUAAUCUUGAUUGAAUGUAAUUGGUGAUUUAGUGAAGUAUUUCAAGGCGAUGAAGAAGUGGUCUGGGGGUACCCUCAUUAUAAUCUUGUCUUUCAUUUUGGUGGUGAGGUACACCUUCUUUGGUAGUCAACCACCAAAGCAAAUAAAGCAAACAGCAUAUGACUUCUUUAGAAACAAUCAUGCUAAUGAUUCCCAAGCACGGGAAAUCAGUUUGAUUUCGACAUCUUCUAGGAUCAAUGGAACAAAGCUUAAAGAGAAGCCUCAUCUUAUUGAUGUUGAAGGGCUUAGUGAGUUGUAUAGUUCUGCAAAUAUGUCGAAAGAGGAUAUGAGAAGUUUUGCGACUUGGCCUCAGUUGCGUGAUGUGUUGUUAAGGUCAGAUGGACUGCCUGAAACAAGGAAAGGUGUCAAAGAGGCUUCUGUUGCUUGGAGAGAAUUACUAUCUAGUAUAGAGAGGGAGAAAGGUUCCAAAAUUGCAGAUGAUGGUGGGAAUGUUAACAAUACUAAUGAAAUAAAAUGCCCUUUUAGUGUUAGCACUUUUGAUGAGCCUGUGAAUAGUAGCAGGAGACUCCUCGAGAUCCCAUGUGGUUUAAUUGAAGAUUCUUCUGUUACUCUAAUUGGUAUUCCAAACGGAAAGAAUAGAAGCUUCCAAAUUGAGCUUGAGGGUGCAAGAUUGCAAUAUGAGCAGAAGUCUUCUAUUAUCUUGCAUUACAAUGUCUACUUGCCAGAAGAAAACAGUACAAAAAAUCCUGUAAUUGUCCAAAAUUCAUGGACUAAAGAAGUUGGCUGGGGCAAGGAAGAAAGAUGUCCUGGGGGGAGGUUUACAAACUAUAUCCAAGUUGAUGGACUGGCUAGUUGCUAUGAGCAACUUGUUAGAAGCACUUUGGAAGAAAAUCGUAAUGCAAGUCAUCCUGUUAACAAGUCCGUGGUGCACACUCAUGUCAGAGCUAAUUUUCCAUUCACUGAAGGGAGCCCUUUCACUGCUACCUUGUGGGCUGGUUUGGAAGGAUUUCACAUGACUAUCAAUGGAAGGCAUGAAUCUUCCUUCAAAUAUAGAGAGAAUUUGGAGCCAUGGCUGGUUAAUAAAGUCAGAGUGACUGGUGGUGUGAGCAUCUUGUCUGGCAUAGCCAAAGGCCUGCCUGUGUCCGAAGAUCUUGACAUAAUAAUUGAUGUUGAUCAACUCAAAGCCCCACCAAUAUUGAAAAGAAGAGUUCUGUUACUUGUUGUAGUCUUCUCAACCGGAAACAACUUUGAACGUAGAAUGGCUCUAAGGAGGUCUUGGAUGCAAUAUGAAGCUGUACGCUCGGGCAAUGUAACUGUUCGCUUUCUUAUCGGAUUUCACAAGAAAACAGAGGUAAAUUUUGACCUAUGGAAAGAAGCUCAAGCAUAUGGAGACAUCCAGUUGAUGCCUUUUGUUGACUACUACAGCUUGAUCAGCUUGAAAACAAUUGCAGUUUGCAUCCUUGGGACCAAGAUUCUACCUGCCAAAUAUAUAAUGAAGACAGACGAUGAUGCUUUCGUGAGAAUUGAUGAAGUGCUUUCUAGUCUUAAGGGGAAGGCUGCUAAUGGUCUCUUGUAUGGCCUCAUAUCAUUUCAGUCGUCCCCCCACAGGGACACGGAUAGCAAGUGGUUUGUCAGCGAAGAGGAAUGGCCAAAAGAUUCAUUUCCACCAUGGGCUCAUGGUCCAGGUUAUAUAGUUUCCCGUGAUGUUGCAAAAUUUAUAGUACGUGGUCAUCAGGAAAGAGAUCUAAAGCUUUUCAAACUAGAGGAUGUUGCUAUGGGAAUUUGGAUUGAGAAAUACAAGAACAAUGGUCAUGAAGUCAAAUACAUCAGUGAUGAUCGAUUUUACAAUACUGGAUGUGAUCAGGAUUACAUCCUCGCACAUUAUCAAAACCCGAGGAAGGUGCUGUGCUUAUGGGAGAAGUUGCAAAAAGAACACCGGGCUGCCUGUUGUGAAUAAGUCAUAAAGCAGGAAUCCACUUUCUUAUCUUCUAAGGUUUUGAAACCAGUAUGCGGCUUACAUUGUGCAACUUUUGAGCUUUGUGAUUCAUUUUGUUAUUAUUUUUUUGGGUGCAAUAGGAGGCACAAAAACCAGCAGAUAUGGAUGGGAAAUCUGACGAUACAACCUGCAAGGAAUUUCUAACUGACAUCCAUAGGGGUAGCUGUAUUCAGAAAUGAAAAAGAGUAGGCAUAUGCUCACUCUACACUUGUUUUGGCUUUUGGUGCACCCGUUUAUAAAUACACGAAUCCCAUAUUAACAAACUUGCGAGUUGCGACGCCUUUCAACUCGAGUCUGACAAACUAGUAUCAAGGGCUCGUCUUUCUUCAUCAGUGCAAUUUCAACCUUUUUUUGUGAGUCAAC